UUUGCUUUAUAUUAAAAACAACAUUCAUUUCAUAUGAUAACUUUGCGAGGAAAUACCAUCACAAACAAAUACAACACAUAAACAACAACACAAUAAACUACAACAAAUAAAAUACCAUCACUAACAAAUACAACACAUAAACAACAUAAUUAUGCGAUUACAACAAUAUAAAUAUGCGAUUACAACCAUCAAAACAAUUUUGUAAGGAGUAUACAUCAUCCUGUGAACGUGUCUGUCAGUCUUAAUAUCCACCCAUAAACGAACUUCUCCAUUUUUAUUGAACGUGGUAUCAAGCCAUUGAAUUCUUCUGAUCCUUUCACCAUCUGCAAUGUCUCCAUCUAACCAACGAUUCAAGGUCCUGUUAAGACGUUCAAACGUAUAUACAUUCCAAAGUCGGAUCUUUUUCGGAGGCUGCAUUACUGAAAAGAUUAGAUUGACAUUUCUUUUGUGAAUAUAUGAAUAUACAAACAUUUUAAAGAAAAGAAAAUUGAAGGAAAAUGGAAGGAGGGUAAGAAGUUGUGUGAAAAAUUAUGGGAGAAAUGUUGUGUAUUUAUAGAUGAGUGCACGUGCACGCGCCAUUACUUUGGACGCACGCACACAUGCCAACAUGCAUGCGUCAAUGCUUUUGGCGCACAGUCACAUGGCUACAUGCACACGCCAGGCAUGUGGCACCUUCACAUGCAUGGCCCAAUGCAUGCAUCAAUGACUUGGGUGUCUCCUGUUGAUUGGAUAAUAGAUGCGUCAGUUCAACUGACGCAUAAAUCAUGAAAGAUGGUUAUUUCCGUAAUUAUUUUAAAAAAUAUGUUAUUUAAAAAUUUAAAUUGAAAAAUAUAAUUAUUUAAAAAAUAAAAUCUCAUUGAACAAUAUAAAAAACAUUAAAAAAAUAAUGCAGAAAAAAAAAGAUGAAUAAAAUCUACAUUAUUCAACUUGUCUUCAUACAAGGAUUAAUUAUUUAACUUGUCUUCAUACAAGGAUUAAUAGAUUAUUCAUGCAAAUCAAUCUAACUGAUUUCCACAAAAAUAGUGGCAAUUAUAAUAACUAAAUAAACCAACUAAAACAACCUAAUACAUUGUAUAUAAAGAAUAAUAAAGAUAAAGGAUUAAGGUGUUUCAAACUCUUUGCACCCCCAAUGGGAGAAUUGUUUGGUCCACUUUUCUCCAUCACUGCCCUUUUACCUUCUGAGACCGUUUGUGUAGUGUUGCUGUUGGACCUUAUAAUUUGCAAACUCAACUUUAGUAAAAAUUUAUCUGCACUCCAGCUAUUAUCGUUUUUACCCCUAUAAAAUUAUAAGAAAAAUACUAAAUUCACCUCAUGUCAUUUAAUCAGUAAAAAAUAUUUUAAAAUACGUCAUUUUUAUACUUUGUAAAAAAUAAUUUCUAAAUUAUUAAAUGUCAAAGUUAUUUUUAAUAAUCUUACAGAUACUAAUAUAUUAUAAGAUAAAUUUACGUAAACUUUUUCAAAUAAUUUCAUUGCGAAAAUGUACUAAAAUAUUUAAAAUAUGUGCCAGCUGUUGUAUAUCACACAAACAAACAAGUGCUAAAUCUUAUACUAGUAUUUUAUUGGUAGAUUGUUG
rnacentral:lncRNA from 1 species